AUCAGUUGAGGAGCCCUAAAUAGGACGAAACGAGCGUCCUGGAU
rnacentral:hammerhead_ribozyme from 1 species